GACGAACGCUGGCGGCGUGCUUAACACAUGCAAGUCGAACGAUGAAGCCGGAGCUUGCUCUGGUUAAUUAGUGGCGAACGGGUGAGUAACACGUGAGUAACCUGCCCUUGACUCUGGGAUAACUGCGGGAAACUGUAGCUAAUACCGGAUACGACCCUCGGAGGCAUCUCCUGGGGGUGGAAAGACAUUCGGUCAAGGAUGGCAUCGCGGCCUAUCAGCUAGUUGGUGAGGUAAAGGCUCACCAAGGCGACGACGGGUAGCCGGCCUGAGAGGGUGACCGGCCACACUGGGACUGAGACACGGCCCAGACGCCUACGGGAGGCAGCAGUGGGGAAUAUUGCACAAUGGGCGCAAGCCUGAUGCAGCAACGCCGCGUGAGGGAUGACGGCCUUCGGGUUGUAAACCUCUUUUAGCAGGGAAGAAGCGAAAGUGACGGUACCUGCAGAAAAAGCACCGGCUAACUACGUGCCAGCCGCCGCCGUAA
rnacentral:rRNA from 1 species